AAAUAAUCAAAACCUCACUAGGAGGAUGGGUGAUCGACAUGAUCGUACUUUGGUUAUGCAAUGAGAAUGAAACUGUGCAUUUUAGCUUUCUGACUAGCUAGCAACUUGCAUGGAAGAAACAGCUAUGAUGAUACAUAGACCGAGCAAGAUGAGAAUACAUGUAGAAAGAUUAGAGACAAACGUUGUAAUAAAUGGAUCCAUUGGACUCUGGUAUCGUUCCUGCCGUGAAAUGCCAUUCAAAGACAAAGGAAUGCCUGAGCAAAACGUGCCAAAGCUGCUCAACGAUUCUUGGGUGGGAGAGAGAGAGAGAGAGAGGAUAGACUGAAGAAUUUGUUAAUGCCAUUCGACAGGAUCAUAUAAAAAAACAUCCUGUUUUUAGUUGCAGAGUUGCGAGUUGUGAUCAAUCAGUUGAGACUUUGCUAAAAUAAAAUAUGACAUCAUUCACUGGACUGUUUACAAUUACAUAAACACGAAACCAAGCCAAAACAAUACUACUAAACAUUUGGCAUUAGCUGAACUAUAUAGACAACAAAAACAAAAAUGAGUCUAAGCUUCAUUCUUUCAUCCCACUUUUGAACCUAAUUGUUAAAAAAA